CUCAAUCUACCCGGAAGAAGAAGAACGAGCGCGCUCGGAUGAGUAUGCGAAGGUAUCGCUGUUGGUCGGUUUCGAUUUUCAGAGAUGUUCAUUCUGUUCUCAACGAAAGUAAUUUGAUACGCUGGUCCAAUAUUAAUUGAACGAUCACAGUGCAGUUAGUCAUUAGACUGCAUUUAAGAUGACAUCUGGAAUUGCAGGGCAUGGACGGUUCGGAAGUAAUCGUAGUGGGCCUACCAUCUUGAGGGUUUGGUUAUCCAGAAGACGUCCCCCGAACUGGAAGUAUGAAGAUGAUCUGUAAAGCUAUGGCUGUGUCCGAAGCUGCUUACUUGCCAACUAUUGAGUAUACACGUUGCAUACUACUUGUAUACUCAAGAGCAGACAAGUAAGCUGUUUCAGACGCAGCCCUUGUGUGAAUUGUGCCUGUAAUGAAAGUGUGAGGUGGUAUUGGACCCUAAUCACAUCUCCUAACUGGCAUGUCUGGGUAAAGGCCAUCUUGCUGCCUUGAGGGGUUGUUGCCCCCAGCCAGACUAACAGGGUCUGUGGUGUGCGUUCCCUGCUGUUCAGUCUCAACUGGCCCAGCAAGUUCUUCACAAUUUAAAUAAAAGAUUUUAACUCCAGGCUUGCAAGUUGUCCUACUAGUGUAUUAAAAUAAUUUAAAAAAAAUUAACUUCACAUUUUAGUAGUGCCCACCCAGAGUCCCAGAAUGAAACCACUGUUUCUGACCCAAAAGCUCAAGUGGCUACAUGCCAAAAUUGACAGGACUUGUUCUGCUGCACAGUGCCUUUUCAAAUUUGAGUGAAUAAAAUUUUUCUUCUGUGUGAAUAAUCUUGGGUUGACUGGGUCUUCAGUUGGACCAACACUGACUUGUCUUUCAAAUAUCAGUUUCUUCUCAAACCUAGCUAUCCGAAGCUGGUUCCAUAAUUAGCGUGUGAAUGGAGCCUCAAUGACCGAUUGUAAACCCAGUUUCACUUUGGACAAAGAAUUCAUUUAUUUUUCCACAUGAUUUAAUAAAUUGUUAAUGUGCUUCAAUAAACUCAGUUUUUAUGUA